rnacentral:lncRNA from 1 species
AUGGAUGACAUCAAGCUGUACGCCAAGAAUGAGCGAGACAUCGACUCACUAAUCCACACCACCAGGAUCUAUAGCUCGGACAUUGGGAUGUCAUUCGGACUCGAGAAAUGUGGGAGGAUGGUGACAAAGAGAGGCAAGGUUAUCCACACAGAAGGGGUCUCACUCCCAGAAGGAACAAUAGCAGACAUUGAGAACAGUUACAAGUACCUUGGAAUACCACAGGCAAACGGCAACCUUGAACAGGCAACAAGGAAUGCGGCAACAGCCAAAUACCUCCAACGAGUAAGGCAAGUCCUAAGAAGCCAGCUCAAUGGCAAGAACAAAUCCCGGGCAAUAAACAGCUACGCUCUGCCAGUGAUCAGAUACCCUGCGGGAAUAAUAAGGUGGCCAAAGGAAGAGAUACAGACCACAGAUGUUAAGACACGAAAGCUCCUCACCAUGCAUGGAGGGUUCCACCCCAAAUCCAGCACCCUGAGACUGUACGCUAGCCGCAAGGAAGGAGGCCGAGGACUAGUGAGUGUGAGAGCUACUAUCCAGGAUGAAACAUCCAAGAUCCAUAAGUACAUCAAGGAUAAGGCCCCGACAGAUGACGUGCUGAGUGAAUGUCUCAGGCAGUGGGGAACAGAGGAUGAGAUGCUGGAAGAGGGACAAUCAUGGGAGGACAAGCCCUUGCACGGGAUGUACCACCGCAACAUAACUGAAGUGGCUGAUCUCAACAAAUCCUACCAAUGGCUUGAAAGGGCUGGGCUGAAGGACAGCACAGAGGCACUCAUCCUGGCUGCACAGGAGCAGGCCCUGAGCACCAGAGCCAUAGAGGCCCAGAUCUACCACACCAGACAAGACCCAAGGUGUAGACUGUGCAAAGAGGCCCCUGAGACGGUCCAGCACAUAACUGCAGGGUGUAAGAUGCUGGCAGGGAAAGCAUACAUGGAACGCCAUAACCAAGUGGCUGGCAUAGUAUACAGGAACAUCUGCUCAGAGUAUGGACUGGAAACCCCAAGGUCAAAGUGGGAAACACCUCCCAAGGUGGUAGAGAACGAGCGAGCCAAGAUCCUGUGGGACUUCCAGAUCCAGACUGACAGAAUGGUAAUGGCGAACCAACCAGACAUUGUGGUGGUGGACAAAGAGCAGAGGAAAGCCGUAGUGGUGGAUGUGGCAAUACCAAGCGAUGGCAACAUCAGGAAAAAGGAACAUGAGAAACUAGAGAAAUACCAAGGGCUCAGAGAAGAACUGGAGAAGGCUUGGAAGGUGAAGGCCACAGUGGUGCCUGUGGUGAUCGGAGCACUAGGGGCUGUGACCCCCAAACUGGAGGAGUGGCUACAACAGAUCCCUGGAAAAACAUCCGAAAUCUCAGUCCAGAAAAGUGCAGUCCUAGGAACAGCAAGGAUACUGCGCAGAACCCUCAAGCUCCCUGGCCUCUGGUAG